UACGGGGGGGGCAAGCGUUGUUCGGAAUUACUGGGCGUAAAGGGCUUGUAGGUGGCCAACUAAGUCAGACGUGAAAUCCCUCGGCUUAACCGGGGAACUGCGUCUGAUACUGGAUGGCUUGAGAUUGGGAGAGGGAUGCGGAAUUCCAGGUGUAGCGGUGAAAUGCGUAGAUAUCUGGAGGAACACCGGUGGCGAAGGCGACAUCCUGGACCAAUACUGACGCUGAGGAGCGAAAGCCAGGGGAGCAAACGGG
rnacentral:rRNA from 1 species